UCCACAGUAGCUCAGUGGUAGAGCAAUCGGCUGUUAACCGAUCGGUCGUAGGUUCGAGCCCUACCUGUGGAGCCA
rnacentral:tRNA from 1 species